GCGGGAUAGAGCAGUCUGGUAGCUCGUCGGGCUCAUAACCCGGAGGUCGUUGGUUCAAAUC
rnacentral:tRNA from 1 species